GAUGAACGCUGGCGGCGUGCCUAAUACAUGCGAGUCGAGCGAACAGACGAGGAGCUUGCUCCUCUGACGUUAGCGGCGGACGGGUGAGUAACACGUGGAUAACCUACCUAUAAGACUGGGAUAACUUCGGGAAACCGGAGCUAAUACCGGAUAAUAUAUUGAACCGCAUGGUUCAAUAGUGAAAGACGGUUUUGCUGUCACUUAUAGAUGGAUCCGCGCCGCAUUAGCUAGUUGGUAAGGUAACGGCUUACCAAGGCGACGAUGCGUAGCCGACCUGAGAGGGUGAUCGGCCACACUGGAACUGAGACACGGUCCAGACUCCUACGGGAGGCAGCAGUAGGGAAUCUUCAGCAAUGGGCGAAAGCCUGACGGAGCAACGCCGCGUGAGUGAUGAAGGUCUUCGGAUCGUAAAACUCUGUUAUUAGGGAAGAACAAAUGUGUAAGUAACUAUGCACGUCUUGACGGUACCUAAUCAGAAAGCCACGGCUAACUACGUG
rnacentral:rRNA from 1 species